rnacentral:rRNA from 1 species
GACGAACGCUGGCGGCGUGCUUAACACAUGCAAGUCGAGCGGAAAGGCCACUUCGGUGGUACUCGAGCGGCGAACGGGUGAGUAACACGUGAGUAAUCUGCCCUUGGCUUCGGGAUAGCCACCGGAAACGGUGAUUAAUACCGGAUAUGCACUGCUGCUCGCAUGAGUGGUGGUGGAAAGUUUUUCGGCCAGGGAUGUGCUCGCGGCCUAUCAGCUUGAUGGUGAGGUAAUGGCUCACCAUGGCUUCGACGGGUAGCCGGCCUGAGAGGGUGACCGGUCACACUGGGACUGAGACACGGCCCAGACUCCUACGGGAGGCAGCAGUGGGGAAUAUUGGACAAUGGGCGGAAGCCUGAUCCAGCAACGCCGCGUGAGGGAUGACGGCCUUCGGGUUGUAAACCUCUUUCAGCAGGGACGAAGCGCAAGUGACGGUACCUGCAGAAGAAGCACCGGCCAACUACGUGCCAGCAGCCGCAGUAAGAC